rnacentral:rRNA from 1 species
CAACUUUCAGCAACGGAUCUCUUGGCUCUCGCAUCGAUGAAGAACGCAGCGAAAUGCGAUAAGUAAUGUGAAUUGCAGAAUUCAGUGAAUCAUCGAAUCUUUGAACGCACCUUGCGCUCCUUGGUAUUCCGAGGAGCAUGCCUGUUUGAGUGUCAUUAGU